GCUGGGCAUGGUGGCCUGCACCUGUAGUCCCAGCUACUUGGGAGGCUGAGAGAGGAGGAUUGCUUGAGCCCAGGAGUUUGAGGCUGUAGUGAGCUAUGAUCAUGCCACUGCACUCCAGCCUGGGUGACAGAGCAAGUUCCUGUCUCUA
rnacentral:SRP_RNA from 1 species